UUUUUUAAGCAGCUUUGGAAAUGGAGGCAGUUAAACAAAUAGAGUUGGUAACGCACAGUAGAGUUCCUCUCCACAGUGAAGCAAAAGCAUCUCUUGCAGUUUAAAUUGCCUCUGGCUCAAAGCAUACAGUUCACCCAGAGCCAAAAGCGUCACAAUGUCUGUCACCAACCUCAUCAAAAAUCUGGCUGAUCCUUAGGUCUUUUAAGCAUAAAUACAGAUUAUUCACUGCAGAGGACAAAUAUGACCUUACAGGUAAAAUAAACCUGGAGAGACCGCUCUUGUUAGAAUAUGCUGCAUUCUUACCUUCUGUGAUUUCCGUGUUGCCCCACCAAAGUAAGCUAAGGCGCAGAAAGGCUUCGGAAGAUACAACUCCAAUAACCCACCUUGAUACAGACUGUAGAAAUUGGGAAGGAAAAACAGAAGAGUGAAUCCGUUAAUAGCUUGUCAGUGUUCUCACAAGCACGUUUUCAAAAUCUAUGCAAUAUUUGGCCAUAUUUUCCCACACCUUGUCACAACACGAGCUUCAGGUACAGAACCCCCUGUGAGAUGUUAAAAUCACCCAAAGACAGAAUAGAUGACAUUAUAGUUCUUGUAUUUUGUGUUACUUAUGGUUCUUGUAUUUUGUGUUAUUUUUAAUUGGAUUACACUUAGAUGAUACAAGAUGAAGUACCAGAAUUCAUUAAUUUGACAAACCCACUUUCUCUAAAGCAUUUUGUCUAUACACUGAGAGCUAUUAGGUCUCUUCAGCAGCUCACUAAGUAUUCACGUGCUGAGGGGAGAGAAACAGACAAAGCAUUCUGCAAUGACUUAGGUUCAUGCUCUUAAAUUGCAACCCAAGAAGAUACAGGAGGAGGAGCACCAGGAGAAGGAGGCCGUGAGCCUAACAAGCCUUCUAGAAAGAAGAAAUGGAAUGAAGAAAUAUUAAAUGUAAAUGGAAUUCCAUUUUUAGCAUGUGGUCAGUGAACUCAUAUGCGUGAAAAAUUGGAAUGGCUGGAAAUCAGCUGUGCUACCAAAUGGAAAAUCUCAGAAGAAAGCACGCUAUUGCUCAGCUCAGCAGAUUGACAUAAGCAAGAAGACAUCUUUUAGCAACCUGUGUCCAUUUUCUCAUCCUAGCAGUGCAUAUCCAGUGUUUUAACUUGGGUGCCGAAAUCACUCAAAGUAGAAAACGUGGGUCCAAAAAACAACAAAAAGAAGUGAGAAGACUAAGAUCAAACAAGGUGCCUACGAUCCAGAAAGAAAAGAAUGCUUAAAUGUGUACUUGAGCAUUUCAAAUUAAGGAGACGUGAUUUAAAGUGAACAAACAAAUGAAGAUGUACCAGAAAAGAUAAUGCAUCUCGGUUGGAAAAUGACAAUCUAGAUGAAGUUCUCAGUCUGAAAACCUUAUGGGUACACAUAGCUGUAAUCUUUGUUCCAAGCUGGCUGGAAUCAGCUUUACAGUAAGCUGUUGUUUUUUUUGUUUUGGUCUCAGUUUAAGAUUCUCUUUUUAAAUGGUAGUUUAAAAUACGCAUAAUUAUUUAUCAAAAUAUUCAGUAUUAAGAAAUUCUAAUUUUACUUGAUGAAAAUUCAUGUUAAUAGUAGGGUUUUUCUCUUCUUUAGCACAACAUUGAAUAAACCCACCUGGCCAUUUCAUAUUUAGCUAUACUACAUUUCUCCAUUUUUCAAUAUGAAGCUUGGAAUUGUCAGAAGAGGAAUCUCUCUAAAAAUCUAUUUUACAUUGCCUUGUUGCUCUGGAUAUUGUACCCAGGAUAGAACUGUCAACUUCUCCUCUGAAAGUAACGGGAGGAAGGAGAAAAAUAGAUCAAGGAAAGCAUAUGAAACUGAGGAUUCAGAAAAAGGAAGAAAGAAUGAGGGAUGUUGAACGUGACACAGAGAGCCAUUCAGCAUUUAGCGUGAUUCUGCAGAGAACCUCUUACAGGGUUUGACAAGCAGCUUCAUCUGCUUUUAAGUCAGGUCAUCCAAUCUCAUCCCAUAAGUCAACACAAUGCAAAAGUUAAAGUCAUUCAACUAAAACUGUGACAACCUUUGAUGCAGAAGACGGUCUAAGUCAAAUGCUAGAUGGCAUCAAG